UACAGGGGGGGCAAGCGUUGUUCGGAAUUACUGGGCGUAAAGGGCUCGUAGGUGGCCAACUAAGUCAGACGUGAAAUCCCUCAGCUUAACUGGGGAACUGCGUCUGAUACUGGAUGGCUUGAGUUUGGGAGAGGGAUGCGGAAUUCCAGGUGUAGCGGUGAAAUGCGUAGAUAUCUGAAGGAACAUCAGUGGCGAAAGCGACUUCCUGGACCAAUACUGACGCUCAUGUGCGAAAGCGUGGGGAGCAAACAGG
rnacentral:rRNA from 1 species